AGCUGCUCAUUCACCUGUUUAUGAUUGCCCCGCUUAGCGGUGAGCUCAUAAAGCCCGAAUGACGCACCAAACGGAGCCUGCCGUCCACCUGACCGAUAAUCGCUUGCGUUAUCAAACACCGGACGUAACGUUGAGUAAGGCUCCACCCA
rnacentral:sRNA from 1 species